AAGACAAGACUAACGACAAUUAUUACUUGUGUGCUUUUGCAUCAGAGGAAUCUAAAAGUGCUAUCCAUGGGAGUGUUUACUUUUGUCUGCCUUGUUAUACUUUGAUCUUUGCUUCAUUUUUUGUGUGUGGUUAACUUCUUGCUGCUUUGCUCUUGGCUAGAUAAUACAGUUGAGUGACGAAAGAUUUUCACCUUAUGUGAACUUAAUUGUUAGCAUUUACACUUCUACAAUGCUCUAGUAAUAGAUCUGACUUGCUCCCUUCAAUUUUUGGCCUACUUUAGUUCAUAGAAUAGGAUUAUCAUUGGAAUAGGAAACUUGUAGGAAAUGAGAUAACAUGUAUGUCAAAUCCUACGAGGAGGAUUAGGCAAAGAUAUCUCAUUUGGUUCAUAUCAUAGGAAUUUUACCAUUGAGUUUAGGCUCAUGUUUAUUUUCCUUGGUGAUGUGAAGGAUAGGAACCAUUCUACAUAGGAAUAGUAAUCCGUUCCUAUGAACCAACGAGACCUAAAGGAAAAAUUCCUAUAAAAAUCCUAUCCUAUAGAAUUCCUAUGAAAUUCCUCCAAACCAAAGGAGGCCUGAGUGUCAUAAAUGGAUGUCAACAGAACAUGCAAGCUGUUGCAGAUUACCGAUUACAAGGAGCAUGUAGAAAGACACACAACCCUGUGUUGUUGAAAAAAGAACAUGCAUUCAGUGAUAGUAGUACAAUGGCAACAAAGAAGACACUACUAUGAGAACUAGCCGAUUCUGAGUAUACCAGCUACUAUGAAGCAACAAAACGAGUGACGAGUCAUGGUUGAGAUGGUAAUUACACGUUAGCUACGUACACCAAGAUGGGUCCACGAGGAGAUGCACAAGUGUGGUGAUUCCACAUUAACGGGUAGAUCGAGAUGGGGAGGAGAGAGACAUUCCUUUUCGUAUUUUUCAUCGUCGGCAUAGCUAUCACCGGAGGGUGGUAGCCAGAGAGCGAGGAAUCAUGCCAAGCCUCUAGUUUCACAAAUGAAAAUACAUUAUUUUGUAGGAAAGGUACUCCAUGCUAUAGUUGAUGUCGAUCGGUCAUUCCCGCCGUCGACAUGGGAGCGGUAGAGAGCAUUGUCUCUAUCGUGUGGUUGGUGAAUCUGGGCUUAACACGCAGGAUCUACUAGCGAUUUUGCCUGUUCUGAGCACUUAGCCUUGGAGGCGCUCACCUUGAUGUCGCUUGUGAAGGUAGGCUCGUAGCACGAAAUUAAAACGAGUGAUGUAUCAAGGUUGGGUUGGUGAUUCCACAUUAGCCACGCCCCUAGAACCGAACUGAGCUCCACAUGCACGACUUUGUAAAUGCACUUCUUUAGUAUUCCUCUAAUAUGUCAUCCCGCAUAUGUAGCUACAACUUUCAAGUCUACAUAGUCAGCUCGGAAGAACAUUAUCGAUUGUUUUUUAAACGGGUCUUCUACCUCUAAAAAUCAAACCCC
rnacentral:lncRNA from 1 species